GACGAACGCUGGCGGCGUGCUUAACACAUGCAAGUCGAACGGAAAGGCCCUGCUUUUGUGGGGUGCUCGAGUUGCGGCCGGGUGAGUAACACUUGAGUACCCUGCCCUUCCCUUUGGGAUAUCUUCAUGCAACUGGGGCUAAUACCGGAUAGGAGCUCCUGCUUCAUGGUGGGGGUUGGAAAGUUUCGCCGGUUGGUGAUGGACUCGCGGCUUAUCAGCUUGUUGGUGGGGUAGUGGCUUACCAAGGCUUUGACGGGUAGCAGGCCUGCGAGGGUGACCGGCCACAUUGGGACUGAGAUGCGGCCCAGACUCCUAUGGGAGGCAGCAGUGGGGAAUAUUGUACAAUGGGCGGAAGCCUGAUGCAGCAACGCCGCGUGCGGGAUGACGGCCUUCGGGUUGGAAACCGCUUUCGCCUGUGACGAAGUGUGAAUGACGGUAACGGGUAAAGAAGCACCGGCUAACUACGUG
rnacentral:rRNA from 1 species